UUUUAAAGAUGCUCUUAAUCCAGUGUGGGGACAGAUUUGAAACAGAAGAGCAUCUGGAGAAGCAGAGUCCUGCAAAGUGUUUGAAAAUGAAAGAGGACAGAGACUAGUUAGUGACUGUCAGAAGGGGCCAGGAGGUGAAUGGGGAAACUGGGCUUUCCAAAGUGUCACAGAACACAGCUCUGAAGGUGCAGAGGCAGAGAAUGAGCACGCCAUAGGAGGGGGCACAGGCAGUGAGUCUGGGCCUGUGUGGGACGAGCAAAGAGAUAACAAAAGCACAAGUGGCCAUGCCAAGCACAUGAGGAACAGUGUCCCCAGCUCACACAGCUCACCCUGUGAUCAGACAGAGAUCACCACCCUCUGAACUUGCAACCCCAGGGUGAGUGGACAGUGACAUCCACUCGCUCUGUGUAUAAUGACUGUACUAUACCUGUACUAACUGGAGUUCUCCAGAGAAGGAUAACCAAUAGGAGGUAUAUAUGCAUAGAGGGAGAGAGAGCAAUUUAUUUUAAAGAUUGACCCAUGCAAUUAUGGAAGCUGGCAAGUCCAAAAUCUACAGGGUGGGCUGGCAAGCUGGAGACCCCAGGAAGGCUGAUGUUGCAGCUGAAGCCUAAUGGCCAUUAGAUUGGAGAACUAGGAAAAGGCCUACGUUGCAGUCCCAUUCUGAAGGCUGUAAGUUCCUUUAGGGAAGGCUGGAAGAAAGACGGAGUGUAAGUUUUUGGCUGCAUACCAGGGUCCUUGUUCAAGGAGACCCAACCUCCCCUUCAUUCAAUGGGUUUGAGUCUGUAAACUGGCUCAAGUCUGGGAAUUGAUUGAGGGGGCAUGACUCUCUUUUCAUGGUUCAAGUUAGACUUUAGUUUGCUUGAUCCAGAAUUUAACUGCUUAUACAGCUCGAGUAAGAAUUUAGUAGGCUUCCUGUGUGUUUCACUGCUGAGAAUACCAUGAUCCACCAGCCGAUGCCCCGGGCUGGCAUGAGUCAGGCUCUUCUGAUUGCAGCUUGGAUGCUGCCAUCCUUUACAGGGUCCACAUCCAUGCAGUGAUGCUACUUGGCCCCUGCCACUUAAGGAUUCAAUACUCCCACUGCGUGGAUGUUUCCCCACUGUAGGGUGUGGCCCACAGAGAAGAGCAGUCACAGCUCGUCAAGGGUUCUGGGGCUCCCCUCUCACAUGCAUUUCCCAUAAUCGUGG
rnacentral:lncRNA from 1 species